ACACACACACACACACACACACACACACACAUCGUCAGCAGGAAGGAAGCUUCUGCUGUCUGCUGUGGUUCAGUUGCCCCAGAAACCAGGUGAUGCGUACGCACACGGAGUGUGUAGCAGAUGACAUAACAGAUUCCAUGACGAAAACAGUGACAGCACAGAAAACCUGAGAGAUGGAAGAGAGGAAGAGAUGCAUCACCUCGGAGAGGUUUCCGGCUUCUGUGUGAGUCAGAACUCGGGCUCACUUCCAGCAUGCACACUUCCUUAGGGGGAGUGCGAGUGCCUUGUUACUGCUGUUCAAACAUCACAGGUCGAACCCUGGAAAUGACUGAACGAUCACAGUGAUUAAAGAGAGGUGACCCCCCUGCCUUUAUCCCUCUGCUCCAGUGCCUCAGAUUCUUCAGGGGCAUGGAUUUAUUGAAAAGAUGUUUGAGGGAGGUGUGCCUAGUCCAAACUUGUUGGCUUAAUCCUAGUCACCAUCUCAGAGGGGGAGAGGCAUAUGUAGACAAAAGAAUUUGUCAUAAUAGUUUUAUCUGUAUGGAUUAGACUUGGUUUAAUGUGUUAAACCAACUCACAUAUUCAUGCAGAUAUGUUUCUCCAAAAUGGGUUUACAAAUUUGUUAGAAUAUAACUAUAUUUAUUUUCAUAGAAAAUACGAACAGUUAAGGUUAGAAUAGGAAAUAGUGAUCAUAGCUUUCCCUUUGUCUUAAACGGAUAUCUUAAGUUAAAAUGUUACACAUUGUGUAUGUAAUUUUUUCACAAUAUAAUUUGGUAAGAAAUUCA